UGCAAGUCGGGCGGUAACACAGAGGAGCUUGCUCCUUGGGUGACGAGCGGCGGACGGGUGAGUAAAGUCUGGGGAUCUGCCUGAUGGAGGGGGAUAACUACUGGAAACGGUAGCUAAUACCGCAUGACGUCUUCGGACCAAAGUGGGGGACCUUCGGGCCUCACGCCAUGAGAUGAACCCAGAUGGGAUUAGCUGGUAGGUGAGGUAACGGCUCACCUAGGCGACGAUCCCUAGCUGGUCUGAGAGGAUGACCAGCCACACUGGAACUGAGACACGGUCCAGACUCCUACGGGAGGCAGCAGUGGGGAAUAUUGCACAAUGGGGGAAACCCUGAUGCAGCCAUGCCGCGUGUGUGAAGAAGGCCUUCGGGUUGUAAAGCACUUUCAGCGGGGAGGAAGGCAAUAAACUUAAUAAGUUUGUUGAUUGACGUUACCCGCAGAAGAAGCACCGGCUAACUCCGUGCCAGCAGCCGCGGUAAUACGGAGGGUGCAAGCGUUAAUCGGAAUGACUGGGCGUAAAGCGCACGCAGGCGGUCUGUUAAGUUGGAUGUGAAAUCCCCGGGCUCAACCCGGGAACAGCAUUCAAAACUGACAGGCUAGAGUCUCGUAGAGGGGGGUAGAAUUCCAGGUGUAGCGGUGAAAUGCGUAGAGAUCUGGAGGAAUACCGGUGGCGAAGGCGGCCCCCUGGACGAAGACUGACGCUCAGGUGCGAAAGCGUGGGGAGCAAACAGGGAUUAGAUACCCUGGUAGUCCACGCCGUAAACGAUGUCGACUUGGAGGCUGUGGUCUUGAACCGUGGCUUCCCGGAGCUAACGCGUUAAGUCGACCGCCUGGGGAGUACGGCCGCAAGGUUAAAACUCAAAUGAAUUGACGGGGGCCCGCACAAGCGGUGGAGCAUGUGGUUUAAUUCGAUGCAACGCGAAGAACCUUACCUACUCUUGACAUCCAGAGAAGACUGUAGAGAUACGGUUGUGCCUUCGGGAGCUCUGAGACAGGUGCUGCAUGGCUGUCGUCAGCUCGUGUUGUGAAAUGUUGGGUUAAGUCCCGCAACGAGCGCAACCCUUAUCCUUUGUUGCCAGCGAUACGGUCGGGAACUCAAAGGAGACUGCCGGUGAUAAACCGGAGGAAGGUGGGGAUGACGUCAAGUCAUCAUGGCCCUUACGAGUAGGGCUACACACGUGCUACAAUGGCGCAUACAAAGAGAAGCGAGCCUGCGAGGGUGAGCGGACCUCAUAAAGUGCGUCGUAGUCCGGAUUGGAGUCUGCAACUCGACUCCAUGAAGUCGGAAUCGCUAGUAAUCGUAGAUCAGAAUGCUACGGUGAAUACGUUCCCGGGCCUUGUACACACCGCCCGUCACACCAUGGGAGUGGGUUGCAAAAGAAGUAGGUAGCUUA
rnacentral:rRNA from 1 species